AAAGGCGAACGGGGUGCGUAAACCUAUCGCCACGAUGAAGGCUCUGCCGCACUUGUAACCUUCAAGCCCAUGCAACGUAGGCGCGUUUGCCUGCAUGGGCUCCCGUUGUU
rnacentral:sRNA from 1 species